rnacentral:lncRNA from 1 species
UGAACCAAAAAACUAAAAAUGAUUGUUUUGUGGGAUUUUUGUUUUUGUUUUUGGGGUAUAUUAGAUGUAAAUGUGUAUGACAUUGACUAUACAAUACAAGUAUUCUUUCUUUUUUUUUAAUACGUGCCCGGCUGUUAUACUCAUAUAUGAAUAUUUGCAAUUAGUCGAGGAAAAACCAAAAUAAUUAAGCUGAAUAAAUAACGAUUUACUUACAACUACAAGCAACAUGGUAAUGCUAAUAUAAAGGAUAACAAACGUGAAGAGGAGAGAAAAAAAGGAUGAGAGAGUUCCAACUUCCAAGAAAAACGAGUAAAAGAAUACGAGACUGCCCAUAAGAGCCAUAGUAUUAAGACCUCUUUCCAUCUUUU